GAUGAACGCUGGCGGCGUGCCUAAUACAUGCAAGUCGAGCGAACGGACGAGAAGCUUGCUUCUCUGAUGUUAGCGGCGGACGGGUGAGUAACACGUGGAUAACCUACCUAUAAGACUGGGAUAACUUCGGGAAACCGGAGCUAAUACCGGAUAAUAUUUUGAACCGCAUGGUUCAAAAGUGAAAGACGGUCUUGCUGUCACUUAUAGAUGGAUCCGCGCUGCAUUAGCUAGUUGGUAAGGUAACGGCUUACCAAGGCAACGAUGCAUAGCCGACCUGAGAGGGUGAUCGGCCACACUGGAACUGAGACACGGUCCAGACUCCUACGGGAGGCAGCAGUAGGGAAUCUUCCGCAAUGGGCGAAAGCCUGACGGAGCAACGCCGCGUGAGUGAUGAAGGUCUUCGGAUCGUAAAACUCUGUUAUUAGGGAAGAACAUAUGUGUAAGUAACUGUGCACAUCUUGACGGUACCUAAUCAGAAAGCCACGGCUAACUACGUGCCAGCAGCCGCGGUAAUACGUAGGUGGCAAGCGUUAUCCGGAAUUAUUGGGCGUAAAGCGCGCGUAGGCGGUUUUUUAAGUCUGAUGUGAAAGCCCACGGCUCAACCGUGGAGGGUCAUUGGAAACUGGAAAACUUGAGUGCAGAAGAGGAAAGUGGAAUUCCAUGUGUAGCGGUGAAAUGCGCAGAGAUAUGGAGGAACACCAGUGGCGAAGGCGACUUUCUGGUCUGUAACUGACGCUGAUGUGCGAAAGCGUGGGGAUCAAACAGGAUUAGAUACCCUGGUAGUCCACGCCGUAAACGAUGAGUGCUAAGUGUUAGGGGGUUUCCGCCCCUUAGUGCUGCAGCUAACGCAUUAAGCACUCCGCCUGGGGAGUACGACCGCAAGGUUGAAACUCAAAGGAAUUGACGGGGACCCGCACAGGCGGUGGAGCAUGUGGUUUAAUUCGAAGCAACGCGAAGAACCUUACCAAAUCUUGACAUCCUUUGACAACUCUAGAGAUAGAGCCUUCCCCUUCGGGGGACAAAGUGACAGGUGGUGCAUGGUUGUCGUCAGCUCGUGUCGUGAGAUGUUGGGUUAAGUCCCGCAACGAGCGCAACCCUUAAGCUUAGUUGCCAUCAUUAAGUUGGGCACUCUAAGUUGACUGCCGGUGACAAACCGGAGGAAGGUGGGGAUGACGUCAAAUCAUCAUGCCCCUUAUGAUUUGGGCUACACACGUGCUACAAUGGACAAUACAAAGGGCAGCGAAACCGCGAGGCCAAGCAAAUCCCAUAAAGUUGUUCUCAGUUCGGAUUGUAGUCUGCAACUCGACUACAUGAAGCUGGAAUCGCUAGUAAUCGUAGAUCAGCAUGCUACGGUGAAUACGUUCCCGGGUCU
rnacentral:rRNA from 1 species